GGCCUCCGAAUAACUUCAUCCUCAUGAUGAUGUCAGCCUUCUCGUGAUGAUGUUCGGCCUCCUCAUGAUGUCGGCCUUCGGAUGACUUCGUGAGGUUGGCCUCCUCGUGAGAUCGACCUCCGGAUAUCUUCGUGAGGUUGGUCUCUUUGUGAGAUCGGUCUUUUGAUGAAGUUGGUCUCUAGAUGACUUUAUGAGAUUGGCUAAAUAAUGAGAAUCUAUCCCAAUAAAUAUAUAUAGCCAUGGCUUGUUCCAC
rnacentral:lncRNA from 1 species